GCCUCCUUAGCUCAAUUGGUUAGAGCAUCUGACUCUUAAUCAGAGGGUUCCAGGUUCGAGUCCCGGAGGGGGCA
rnacentral:tRNA from 1 species